rnacentral:rRNA from 1 species
AUUGAACGCUGGCGGAAUGCUUUACACAUGCAAGUCGAGCGGCAGCGCGGGGGCAACCCUGGCGGCGAGCGGCGAACGGGUGAGUAACAUAUCGGAACGUACCCCGUCGUGGGGGAUAACACAGCGAAAGCUGUGCUAAUACCGCAUACGACCUGAGGGUGAAAGCGGGGGAUCGCAAGACCUCGCGCGAUGGGAGCGGCCGAUAUCGGAUUAGCUUGUUGGUGAGGUAAAGGCUCACCAAGGCGACGAUCCGUAGCUGGUCUGAGGAGGACGACAGCCACACUGGAACUGAGACACGGUCC